rnacentral:rRNA from 1 species
UACGAAGGGGGCUAGCGUUGUUCGGAAUUACUGGCGUAAAGCGCACGUAGGCGGAUAUUUAAGUCAGGGGUGAAAUCCCAGAGCUCAACUCUGGAACUGCCUUUGAUACUGGGUAUCUCGAGUAUGGAGAGGUGAGUGGAAUUCCGAGUGUAGAGGUGAAAUUGUAGAUAUUGGAGGAACACCAGUGGCGAAGCGGCUCACUGGCC